UACAGAGGCCACGAGCGUUAGGCGGAAUCACUGGGCUUAAAGCGUGUGUAGGUGGAUGGGUAAGUACCUUGUGAAAUCCCACGGCUCAACCGUGGAACUGCUUGGUAUACUGCCUGUCUUGAGGCACUCAGGGGCGAGCGGAACAGAUGGUGGAGCGGUGAAAUGCGUAGAUAUCAUCUGGAACGCCAAUGGUGAAGACAGCUCGCUGGGGGUGUACUGACACUGAGACACGAAAGCCAGGGGAGCAAACGGG
rnacentral:rRNA from 2 species